CACCGCCCGUCACACCAUGGGAGUGGGUUUCACCAGAAGCAGCUAGCCUAACCGCAAGGGAGCGGUUGCCACGGUGAGAUUCAUGACUGGGGUG
rnacentral:rRNA from 1 species